rnacentral:lncRNA from 1 species
AAGCAAUCAAAUCAUAUAAAUCAAACAAUUGUCCAACCGAAACUUUAUAUUGAAUUUAUGAAAUAAAGGAGAUUAAAUAAUCAAAGGUUCAUCGAUUUCCUAAUGAAUAAAAACCCUAGCCUAUGAUCAUAAUUACAGAAUCAAGAAUUAAAACGAAAUUAAAAGAUAUAAAGAAUACACCCGUAUGAUAAUCCUUCAAUUUUGUGUGUAAUCUUCAAUUCCUUCUUGAAUCCUUGUGAAAUCAAGCCCAAGAUUGUGUUUCUUGCCUUCAAAUUGAGUGUAUUUUUUCUCCCUGGUCGUUCCUCCCCUCAAUUUGAUGAUUUUGGGUAUUUAUAUCACGUCAAAAUCAAGUAGGAAAAGAGUUUCAAUGAAAACAAAAAACUGCAACGGAGGCCCCCGAAGUAUCACUAUGCGACCGCAUAGAAGGUUUCUAUGCGGUCGCAUAGACCAAUAAAUUUUCCCCAAAAAUUUCCUGCAACCAUCUAUGCGAACGCAUAGAUGGUUACACUAUGCGUUCGCAUAGACUAACCAACUAUGAAGUCUUUACAUUUUGGUCCCUGAACUUUCCUUGUUGCUUCUCUUGACUUCUUUCUUCGAUUUCUUUAUCUUUUCAACAAAUGUUAUCCUCCAAUUGAUGAUUGACACCAUCGAAUCUCU